GGCCUAUGGCACUGGAAGAAUUCACGGCUGGAAGUCAACCCGUGGUUUCUCCGGUGCUAUUGACCGU